rnacentral:ncRNA from 1 species
UACGCUGGAAAGCGGGUCUCCCUGUAUGGGGAUGGUGAAAGGCCCCGCCGACGGAGUAAGCGGCAGCUGUUAGAAAAUCGGCGUCCGUCAAUCUCUCAGGCCCAAAGAGACAGCAGGU